ACUGUAUAAUUUGAAAAAGUAACAACCAUAUUUGGCAUUCAACUCGAUUUAUUAUUCUAGCCAAUGAUAAUAAGAUAUAAAAGAUAUUGCUUGCUAACAAAGAUAUUUUUCUAACGUAUUUAAAACUAAUCCUAUUGUUUUGACCUCUAUAUAUGCUUUCAUUCGUAAGAAGUAGGAACACAUUCUACUUCCGUGAAAUAUAUUCGAAAUAUCAAGUUAAUCUCCUUUUCUACUAAUAUUCGCUUUUGCCUCGGUUUUGUUCAUCAUCGUAGUUUCAAUAUUUAACAAAUUCUACAUCUCAUAUCUCUACACCAAUGAUUCAUAACGUUUUAAAAUAACUAAUGUCAUACUUUGGAAAGAUCAAUUGUCCUCUAGCAAUGACAAAAGAUAUUUCAUAUACAAGUAAAGAUUUAACUUGCUGAACUCUAAGCAGCCUAAUCUCAGUUUCCAAAAUCUUGAAAUUCAAGUGCACGCAAUUUUUUCGAUUUUUUAACUUUGUUAUAAAUAAUGUUGACAACAAUACUCUUAUUAAAAAUCAAAGAUAUUUGUUUGCUUUAUAUUCAAGUUGAGAUUUGUUAAUCUUAAUAAUUAUUGAUUGUUUACUCAAAAA